GGGGAUGUAGCUCAGUGGUAGAGCAUCUCCUUUGUAUGGAGAUGGUCCCAGCUUUAAGCCCUGGCAUCUGCA